rnacentral:lncRNA from 1 species
AGUUGCUAGGCAUCCCAGGAAAAGCCUUUUGUAUGACCCCACCUCCACACUGUUUUAAAAAAUGUAUUGAAGUAUAAUUAACAUACAACAUUAUAUUAGUUUGAAGUAUAAAACAUGAUUUGAUAAUUGUAUAAAUUGGGAAAUGAUCACAAUAAGUUUAGUUAACAUCUGUCAUCACAGAGCUAAAAAACUUUUCUUCUUAGGAGAACUUUAAGAUCUACUCUCUUAGCAACUUUCAAAUAGGCAAACGGUAUUAACUAUAGUCACCAUGCUGUAUAUUAGAUCCCCCAUGACUUAAGUUUGUACCUUUGACUCCCACCCAUUUCUCCCACUGAUUAAUCUGUUCUAUGAGCUUGUUUUUAAUUAGCGGGGAGAGGGUUUGUUGUUUGUUUUUAGAUUCCUCCACGUAAAGUGAGAUCACACAGUAUCUUUCUAAUUUGACUUAGCAUAAUGUCCCCAAGGUCCACCCAUGUUUUAGCAAAUGCAAGGUUUCCCUCUUUUUUGUGGCUGAAUAUUCCAAUGUAUACACAGACAUAGCUCAUUUUACUGUACUUCAUAGAUACUGCAUUUUUUUUUUUUACAAAUUGAAUAUUUGUGGCCAUCUUUCAUCCAGCAAGUCUAUCAGCACCAUUUUUCCAACAGUGUUUGCUCACUUCAUAUCUCUGUGUCACAUUUUGGCAAUUCCAGCAAUAUUUCAAACUUUUCCGUUAUUAUUAUAUUUGUUAUGGUGAUCUGUGGUCCGUGAUCUUUGUUACUACUGUAAAAACAUUACAACUUGCUGAAGGCUCAGAUAAUGGUUAGCAUUUUUUAGCAGUAAAGUGUCUUUAUUUGUAAAAAAUUCUAUUAAGUAUAAUUGAUUUACAAUGUUAAUUUCUUCUGUACAGCAAAGUGAUUCAGUUAUACAUAUUCAUACAUCCAUUCCCAUAUAGGUUAUCACAGAAUAUUGAGUAGACUUCCCUGUGCUAUAAGCAAUAAAGUAUUUUUAUUUAUUUUUUUCUUUUUAGGGCCACACCCAGAACAUAUGAAGUUUCCAGGCUAGGGGUUGAAUCAGAGCUGCAGCUGCCAGCCUAUGACACAGCCACAGCAACAGCAGAUCCUUAACCCAUGGAGCAAGGCCAGGGAUCCAACCUGUGUCCUCAUGGAUAUUAGUUGGGUUCGUUACCACUGAGCCACGAUGGGAGCUCCCAGACCACUUUUUUAACUCUCAAGAGGUUUCAGAGGAUGAAUGACCCCUUAGUCAUACUUGAAGGAAACCUUCUUUCUAAAAAUCCAUCAUGUUCCUUCCUGUUAUUACUUCAGACUGAAGAUGGGCUUUUUAAACAGCAGGCUGUUUCUCUCGAUAUGACUUUGAAAGGGGUUGAAUUUUUACCCUGCUCAGUUUCCCCCAUCACCAGGGUGACACUGGCUCUAGUGAGGAGGGCAGAGCAGCUAGAGUGCUGUCAGGACACUAACAUUUCUUUAUCCUGUUACCAGUCAAAGCAUUAACAGCAAGGACACUGUGCAGUUCACUAGCUAGCCUGCAUCUAGGACAUGGAAAAUGAUUAAAGAAUACUAAAAGGGGGAAGAUAGGAGCCAAGCAAUAAGCCUAGGCCAGAGUUUGGCACGUACAGUCCACGCUCACUAGGGUGGGCCAAAGGGGGGGGUGCAGUAGUAAGUUUCCUAAGAUAUUUAGACAAUAAUGAAAUAGUUUCUUCCAUUUCAUCAGUAGCAUAUAGAUUCACAUGUUGUAUUUUUCUAUUAAGACAUGACUUACUCAGUAUACUAAACCAAUCACUUCUUCCCCUCUGACGGUUUGGUUUAAGAAUUCGAAGGCCAACUGUUGGAGGUUUCAGAGGGCUUUCACUCUCAGAAGGAUGUCCCCCGUUCCCAUGGGUCAUCCUGUGUCAUACUCUUGAAUGGACCCAUUAUAGCUGUAUUUUCUUUUGGAGUCCAACUGGAGUUGGGUUCCUUUGUUGCCACUGCAGCCCCAAACACUCAGGCAGCCCAUGCCAUCCUCGCAUUGUCUGCCCUUGCCUCCUCCACCUGUGCCUUCCUUUGGCUUGGCUUUGUUUGGACUGGCAUGGGCCCCUGUCAUCAGCAUUUUGUAGUCCCUAUCUUGUAAGACAUGUUUCCUAUGAUAGGUUUUCCAAAGUGUUUUUCUGCCAGACUCAAAUUUUUCAUAGCACAUCAACAAGAGCAGUUCACCAAAUGUGCCGUGAAGGAAUCAGGUAAAUGAAAACAGUGCAUUGUGUUUUUAUAGGGCACAUUUUUGUGUUUUCAGUAAAGCUGUGAAUUCUCUGUAUACUUGUUUUUGUGCAACAAAUGGGGUUAGUACUGUAUGGAUUAAGAACUGCUAAGGAGGGAGUUACUGUUGUGAUUCAGUGGUUAUGAACCCAGCUAAUACCCAUGAACACACAGGUUCGAUCUCUGGCCCCGCUCAGGGUGUUAAGGGGUUGGUGUUGCUGUGAGCUGUGGUCUAGGUCUAAGAUGAGGCUCAGCUCUGGCGUUGCUAUGGCCAUGGCUCCGAUUCAACCCCUACUCUGGGAACUUCCAUAUGCUGUGGGCGUGGCCCUAAAAAGAAAAGAAAGAAAGAAAGAACUGCUAAGGAAUGUCAAGGAGAUCUCUUUUCAUGAGGUGACAUCCCUGAGUCACUAUUACUAGGCUCUGCAUUUCUCAGAUAUAUACACAUGCAAGAUGGGGUCGGGAGGGUCUCUAGUGAGAGAACAGUGUGUUGCAAGAUGGGGCGGUGCUCCAUUCAUGAUGAGGAGCUCAGACACAAUCCUAGACUCUAAAGGAAUCUUCCUAAGAAUCUACUCUUCAUUGGACUUUAUAGGAACAUGGCAUCCAAACAUUCACCUAGUUUUAUUCUAGAUGCUGUAAAUUCUGUUCACUGCUCUCCCUUUUCUUUCUUUCUUUCUUUUUUUUUUUUUUUUUUUUUUUUGGUCUAAAAUUUUUAGGGCUGCACCUGUGGCACAUGAAGGUUCCCAGGCUAGGGGUUGAAUCGGAGCUGUGGCUGCCGGCCACAGCCACAGCCACAGCCACGCCAGAUCCGAGCCGUGUCUGUGACCUAUGCCACAGCUCACAGUAACGCCAGAUUCUUAACCCACUGAGCAAGGCCAGGGAUCGAACCUGCAACCUCAUGGUUCAGAUUAAUGGAUCAUUGAAAAGACACAGUCAGACGUUGACUUUCUUCAUGCUGUCUUCCUCAUGUGAAACUUCAGGCUAGAAAACCCAAAACAAAAAUGAAAUGUGAUAAGAAAUAAGGAAUAACUGUUAACUUUUUAGGCAUUGUGAUGGUAGUGCGGUUAUGUUUAACAAAGAAAGAAAUCUCCCUUUUAGAGAAACAUGCUAAAUUAUUUACAAAUAAAAUGGUAUCUGGGAUUUGCUUCAAAUAGUUGGGCUCCCAUUAGACCCCUAGCCUGGGAACCCGCAUGUGCCAGGGGUGAGGCCCUAAAAAGACAAAGGAAAAAAUAUAUGGACUACAGAGUAUAUUAUAGACCUAAAUUUUUUUUUGGCUUUUUGGUUUUUUAAAUUAGACCUAAAUUUUUUCAGUAACAAAUUGAUUUGCCCAAGAACUAUUAAAAGCCAGCACUGAACUGCUUUUGUAACAGUACAGUUUAAGGGUCAACCAAUUUCAAAAUAAUAUAAAAGUCAUUUGCAUAAUGUUUUCAAGUUUUUUGGUUUUUUUGUCUUUUUGCCUUUUCUAGGGCCGAUCCCGCGGCAUAUGGAGGUUCCCAGGCUAGGGGUCUAAUUGGAGCUGUAGCCACCGGCCUAGGCCAGAGCCACAGCAACGUGGGAUCUGAGCCGCAUCUGCGACCUACACCACAGCUCAUGGCAAUGCCGGAUCCUCAACCCACUCAGCAAGGCCAGGGAUUGAACCCGCAACCUCAUGGUUCCCAGUCAGAUUCGUUAACCACUGAGCCACAAAGGGAACUCCUGUUUUCAAGUUUAUAAAGUGCUAUUCACACUUCAGCCAGCAUGGAGGAUUUGUAUUUUCAGAAGAAACCACAGGGCAAAAGUAAGAAAACAGGAACCAUAAGGAAAGAUGAAAGAAACUGGAGCUAAGAAGGCUGAGGGAGGAAAGUUCCUGUUGUGGCUCAGUGAUAAGGAACCCAACUAGUAUCCAUGAGGAUGCAGGUUCGAUCCCUGGCCUCACUCAGUGGGUUAAGGAUCUGGCGUUGCUGUGAGCUGCAGUGUAGGUCACAGACUCGGCUCAGAUCCUGUGAUGCUGUGGUGUAGGCUGGCACCUGCAGCUUGGAUUCAACCCGUAGUCUGGGAACUUCCAUAUGCUGCAGGUACAGCCCUAAAAAGCAAAAAAAAAAAAAAAAAAAAA